GCUGGGCCCUGUGGCUGGUGCCUGUGAUCCCAGUUCCUGGGUAGGCUGAGGCUGGCGGAUCGCUUGAGCUCAGGAGUUGUAGGCUGUGCCGAUCGGGUGUCUGCAUUAAGUUCAGCAUGAAUAUGGUGAUCCCUGGGAAGCUUGGGGUCCCCAGGUUGCCUAAGGAGGGGUGAACCAGGUCAGAAAUGGAGCGGGUCAAAACUCCUGUGCUGAUCAGUAGUGGAGUCGUGCCUGUGAAUAGCCUGGGCAGACAGUGAGACACAGUCUCU
ensembl:misc_RNA Metazoa_SRP Metazoan signal recognition particle RNA